AGGGCCGCGGUAAUUUGACCGUGCGAAGGUAGCAUAAUCAGUAGCUUUUUAAUUGGAGGCUUGUAUGAAUGGUCGGAUGAGGGACAUACUGUCUUUAUCUUAUUAAAAGAAUUUAACUUUUAAGUGAGAAGGCUUAAAUUUCUUGGGGGGACGAUAAGACCCUAUAAAACUUUAUAAUUUCUUGUAACUUAGUUUUAAUGCAGUUAUAUUUCGUUGGGGAAACGUUGAUAUAAGAAUUAACUGUUUGUAAAAUUUAAUAAUUAUAAUUAGUUUAUGAUCCUUUAGUGAGGAUUAAAAGUUUAAGUUACUUUAGGGAUAACAGCGUAAUUUUCUUUGAGAGUUCUUAUCGACAGGAUUAGUUGCGACCUCGAUGUUGAAUUAAAAUUUUUAGUUGGUGUAGCCGCUUACUUAAUAGGUCUGUUCGACCUUUAAAA
rnacentral:rRNA from 1 species